AUUGAACGCUGGCGGCAGGCCUAACACAUGCAAGUCGGGCGAGCGGCAGACGGGUGAGUAAUGUAUGGGGAUCUGCCUGAUGGAGGGGGAUAUCUACUGGAAACGGUAGCUAAUACCGCAUACCACCAGAUGCACACAUAUGGGAUUGGCUUGUAGGUGAGGUAACGGCUCACCUAGGCGACGAUCCCUAGCUGGUCUGAGAGGAUGAGCAGCAACACUGGGACUGUGACACGGCCCAGACUCCUACGGGAGGCAGCAGUGGGGAAUAUGGCACAAUGGGCGCAAGCCUGAUGCAGCCAUGCCGCGUGUAUGAAGAAGGCCGUCGGGUUGUAAAGUACUGUCAGUCGGGAGGCGUUACCGACAGAAGAAGCACCGGCUAACUCCGUGCCAGCCGCCGCGGUAAUAC
rnacentral:rRNA from 1 species